rnacentral:lncRNA from 1 species
AUGGGGUUUGAGCAGGUGCUCCCUCCCCUGGCCGCUGCCCCUCCUAACUUCCUGUUUACAGCAGCUGCGGACUCUCUUCUCUUCACCCCAAGCCAUUAUGGUCACCAUGGCAACCAGGCUGUGUUCCAACAGACAGGAAUUGGCAGCGUGGCUGUGAGUCUGGAUCUGGAAGCUGAGACAGGUGCUCGCCCCAUCAGAGCAGUGUCCACCCCCACCUGUGGCUGGAGGGGGGCACCGGGUCCUCUCUGGGCUGGGGAUGAAGAAGGUACAGCCACAGUUAUUCACAGUGGGCUGCCCCCUGCAUGCAGCUGGAACCCUGUCCCCUCCUCAGCCCAGCUGACGGAAGACCCCUGGCCAACCCAGAGCCAGCUGUCCUUGCCUCUGGAACUGAGCUGAAGUUGCUUCCAGGUUUGCCUGUUCCCCACCCGGCCAGGAGUCCUGCCAUUAGAGAUGAGAUCCUUUGGGGUGAAAACUUCUCCAAACCAGUCUGACCCUCCGAGUACGAGUUUCUCAGAGGGUCCAGCAGGGCUGGGAUCCAGGGGCCCUGUGCACCUCAGCCAAGUUCAGAACCUCUAAGCGGCCCCAGGGCUGGCCAAGUGCAGUGGGGCGGCGGGGGGGGGGGGGGGGNGGGGGGGGGGGGGGAGCGUCCCAUAGCAGGGCCUCCACCCGGCAGAUCUGGGGCAGGCCCAGCAAGCUGUAUUUACAGGCUCUCCAGGUGCCCACGGUGCAUGGGAGGGGCGCCGAGGGUGGGGCGGGUUUCCGACCGGCUGGGUGACCCAGCGUGUGGCCCCACCUCGGCUGAUCACCAACAGGUGAUGCGAAUUGCUGUGGGUGUCCGGGGAUGAUGCCUGCACGACCCCCUCGCUCGAGGGGCAGAGUCCCCCCUGAGAAAAGGAGCCGUUAAGCCCGCGGUGGCGGAGUCCCCAGACCCAGCCCCGCUCCCGAUUGGUACUGGGGACAGCGCUGGGCUAGGAGGGCGACUUCAGAGAUGACUGCGCAGCUCUUCUAGAAAAGUCUGCGCUGCGGACCCAAGCAUGCCGUGCCGGUUUUCCGCGACUCUGGCUUCCCUGGGGCCCUCGGGAGGGGGUCCUGCCGCAGAGCCGGGCCAGCUCCUCGGCCGCACCCACCUGUGGGUUGACGGACAGCCCGAGGCCACGCCCCCUGGGGAGGGGGCUGCCCGGCGCGCCCCUGGGCCGUCUGCGUCCAGCUGCGGGCCCUUG